rnacentral:tRNA from 1 species
GGGGUUGUGGCUCAGUGGUAGAGCGCAUACCUAGCACAUGUAAGGCACUAGGUUCAAUCCUCAGUUAAUCUCA